UUCCAUGAUGAUCAUUUUUUUAUCAAUAUACGCUGGAAAUUACCGGCUGAGAUCUCCCUUGACGAAAACCAAAGGCUUUGUCUGAUU
rnacentral:snoRNA from 1 species